UGUUAAGUUACCGUUAUUCUGAAAGAAUAUUUAAACUCUUACAAGUCAUGUCAUUGUACUUGUUUUCUUUAUGUACGGUCGAAACGAGCUGGCCGUAACAAUUACAUAAACUGUACUUUCUACAUUUGUUUUUGCACUAUAGUUGAGUUUUUAUGUUUCUUUGUCUAUUUUUAUGUGCAUGCAAUUUCUUUGUGCGCGUUAUUGCGCACGUAUUCGCUGUAAAGCACUUUGAGCUGCAUUAUUUUGCAUGAAAGGUGCUAUAUAAAUUACGUUUUAUUAUUAUUUGUGCUGUACCAUCUUAUAGAUACUACAAUGGACCCGGAAGAGACGCUGCUCGGAGGCUCAUCUGGAACCUCCUCACCUAGGUCAACUCCACCACCUUCUACUCCACUGCGUGCUACCUCCUCAGUUAGGUCGACUCUAGCUUCACUCCACCACCUUCAACUACUCCACUGCGUGCUACAAUUACCGAUGAUCUACCUGGAACAAGGACCCAGCAAACAAGGCAAAUGAGAGACGUUGAUGUGCUGGUAAACCAGAUGCAAGUCUCAACAAUGGAAGGAGGACAUGGCAAGAAGUGAGGCCCGGGAGGAACUGUUGAUCGCCAGCAUCCUCCGCACUGACAGUAUGGUUGAGAAGCUGAUGCAGAGAAUGGAUAACAUUCAACCUCAACCAAACACAUUCUCACCACCACCACAACAUCAACCACAUCAAGGUUUUACCUUUUAUACUUGUGUGCUUUUAUACCUUGUUUUUCUUGUGUGCUCUUAUACCUUGUUUCACUUUUCUUAAUAUUAUAACUAAAACUUCUGUGAGUUUCUUUAUUUGUGGAAUGAAACACACAUGAACUGUACAAGAAUUGUAUUUACAAACCUAUGACAAACUGGCUAUUAUGUAAUGAGUACGUCUAAAGGUAUGGUCUGCUCAGGGGGAAGUUUGCACUCAGGUAAUCUGUGAGGGCGGCUCAGAUCCUCUGUCCAUUUGUGUCGUCUGCGUGAUUGUUGGCACGACCACCUGGCUGUGGCAGGUUGGAUGCAAGUGUAGCCGCUUCCACUGACCAGUUGGGAUUCACAACUUCCUUCUCAUUCUCACAGAAAUUGUGCAAUGCACAACAGGUAGCAAUCACUUUAGGGGUGAAUGUAAAGUGGAAGUCACUACGCUUCAUAAAAACUCUCCAGCGUGACUUCAGUCUCCCAAAUGCAAUCUCCACCGUGGUCCUUGCAGAGCUUAAGUAGACAUUGAAGAACUCUUGCUCAGGGGUGAUGUUUGGGGAAUGGGUGUAGCCUUUCAUGAUCCAGUCCAUGAGAGGAUACGCUGGAUCUACCAACAGGAAGUGACCGAUUGAGACGCCAUCGAUUUCUCUUGGUUCCUGGGAGGAGAAACAGAAUUGGUUACCAGUGUUGGACUUGCUUACUAAAUGGCCCAGCAUAAAUAAACAUAGUAUACAUAAAAACAUAAUAAAGCCUCUAUAAAACAUACUACUUUAAGCUUGUAACAUACCUAGAAAUCUCAAUAGCUUGGUGGUAGCUCCACUAGUUUCUGCAUGAAUAACUUUCAGUAGCUUAACUCAUUUAUUUAUCUUAUUGAUUUUAUCCAUACAUUAAUAUGUCUUCAGAGUUCAAUAAUAUAUUGUUGGUCAGAAUUAAAUUCUCCAUGUACCUUC